rnacentral:rRNA from 1 species
CCUACGGGGGGCUGCAGUAGGGAAUUUUGCGCAAUGGGCGAAAGCCUGACGCAGCAACGCCGCGUGAUUGAUUAAGCUCUUCGGGGUGUAAAGAUCUGUUAGUGGGGACGAAACUUGACGGUACCCACAGAGGAAGCACCGGCUAACUCCGGGCCAGCAGCCGCGGCAAGACGGAGGGUGCAAGCGUUGUCCGGAAGCAUUGGGCGUAAAGAGUUCGUAGGUGGCAUAUUAAGUCUGGUGUUAAAGGCAGAAGCUCAACUUCUGUUCGGCACUGGAUACUGGUAAGCUUGAAUGCGGUAGAGGUAAGGGGAAUUCCUGGUGUAGCGGUGAAAUGCGUAGAUAUCAGGAGGAACAUCAGUGGCGUAAGCGCUUUUCUGGGCCGUAAUUGACGCUGAGGAGCGAAAGCCGGGGGAGCAAAUGGGAUUAGAUACCCCAGUAGUC